UACGAAGGGGGCUAGCGUUGUCCGGAUUUAUUGGGCGUAAAGCGCUCGCAGGUGGUCCGAUGCGUCGUGCGUGAAAGACCCCGGCUCAACUGGGGGGUGUCGUGCGAUACGGGCGGACUGGAGGCCAGUAGGGGGAUGCGGAAUUCCGGGUGUAGUGGUGGAAUGCGUAGAGAUCCGGAGGAACACCAGCGGCGAAGGCGGCAUCCUGGACUGGUCCUGACACUCAUGAGCGAAAGCGUGGGGAGCGAUCCGG
rnacentral:rRNA from 1 species